rnacentral:rRNA from 1 species
UACGUAGGGUGCAAGCGUUGUCCGGAAUUAUUGGGCGUAAAGAGCUCGUAGGCGGCUCGUUGCGUCGGCUGUGAAAACCCGCAGCUCAACUGUGGGCUUGCAGCCGAUACGGGCGGGCUAGGAUUCGGUAGGGGAGACUGGAAUUCCUGGUGUAGCGGUGAAAUGCGCAGAUAUCAGGAGGAACACCGGUGGCGAAGGCGGGUCUCUGGGCCGAUAUCGACGCUGAGGAGCGAAAGCGUGGGGAGCGAACAGG